AAUAAAGGGUUGCCUGUUUGUAGAGCACUUUCUUCCAUUGCUAUUAUCUCUCCUCUCUCUGUCCCUAUUAGCUGUAUCUGGGGGGGUUGGUGGGGGGGGGGGCGAUACGUUAUGUGUAUAAUGAGGGGGAUUAUUGCUGCUGUCAUCGCAACACGGGCGCACGCGGCGGAUGCAGAGGGACAGAUCUUAAGCCGGGAGACUGUAAGCAAACAAAUAAGACUUUAGAGGAAUAAACAGGCCGCUGAGUCGCUACAUUAUUUACAUUACACACACACACACACACACACACACACACGCACACACACACAUUUGAAAACUCAAGCACCGCAUCGCCCCCCCCCCAUAUGUUCCUCUAUAGGAUGAUAACAGCAAACAACUGAAUCCCUCCGACGAAGAGCCACGUUCACACGGCGGAGAGCAGUCCAACGUCAGCCGUUUGUGCACCAACUGCGAUGAAGGAAAUGGUGUGUUUGAGGCAUGAACAGGUGCACACCUGUGUGUGUGUGUGUGUGUGUGUCCAAGCGGACGCAUUAACAUUGUCGUUAAAGUGAAAGUUUGACAGCGCAGACACACACAAACGCCACGGGCAGUCGCCACGAACGCACACACACACACACACACAAGGAGGAAACGGGACGUGAUGUGGAGUGUGUGACUGUGUGUGUGUGUGUGUGUGUGUGUGAAAGUUCAAAGGGGAAAGGUUGAGUCCUUACUAAUAACUGCUACAAAAACAAUUGUGUGCAAUUGUGGAAGCUCGACCCCCCGAUUAUUUACACAACGAUCCGUCACAUCCGGCUAUUUAUUUUUUUCUUCUCUUUUUCAACAAUCCACUAUUGUCCUUUUGUGAACAUAAGACACAUUUACAGCACUCGUACAUCUCAAAUGAAUCUUCUUUUUGAAUGAUUGUUUUUUUAUAAAUCUGAAAUUUCAACGAUUACGAUGUCAUAUUUUUCCCAGCCUGAUAUUGUUUAUUCCUAUUGUUGUUGUUGGUGACACCUUCACGGCAAUGAAGUGUGUACACAACAUGCUCUAUAAAAUGCAGUGUGACACAGACUGUGAAUGAAUAACUUUUAAGAGAUGAGUGAGUUCCAUUCCAUAACUAGUAAGUUUUAAUACCCAAAAUCCAGACGUCUCAAAAAUGAUAAUCUCACUCUUCUGCAGGUGUGACUAUCGGAAAAAAAAAGUUUGACAACUAUAGUCGCCGGCGGUAACGCGUGGAAUAAAUAAUCAAAUGAAGCCAGGUGAUGACAUUUUAAAUGUAGACCAGAUAUAUUAACAAGGUGAAGUAUUGAGGCUGUGUGAAUAAUAUUAAAUAUAGAAUAAAUGUCAUUUUAGAGAGACCCUUUAAAAAAAGAAUAAAGCUGACAGCGUAAAUAUGCAAACACAAUGAUAUCAGCACCAGUCAAAUACAUUCGUAAAGUAAAUACUAAAAAUAGUAGAAAACACAUCCAUCCAUCACACGGUAGUAUAGUACACGACAGUAACACUACGAAGUGUAACGUAAAACGCACGUACCAUAGACGCUGCUGCUGCUGAUCAUCUCGUGCUGGAAGAGGAGACGAGAGCAUCGGAAUUAAAAUUUGUGAAGAAACAAAAAAAAGAAAAACACCAAAAAUCCCCUUUAACCAAGAAACAGAAACAUGACAAACACUGAUAAUUAUUCUUUUUCUUUCUCGGUCUCGUUUCUAUUUCUUCGCUGCUCGUGUUUCCAGCCGCGCGCGACGUGGGCCCUUCUAGAACUGGCGCGAGCGACUCGGCAGCGGAGAGGCGUCUAACCUACAUGCAUCUCAUUAGGGG
ensembl:lncRNA